CCUACGGGGUGCAGCAGUGAGGAAUAUUGGACAAUGGGCGAGAGCCUGAUCCAGCCAUGCCGCGUGCAGGAAGACUGCCCUAUGGGUUGUAAACUGCUUUUAUACGGGAAGAACCCCAUCUACGUGUAGAUGGCUGACGGUACCGUAAGAAUAAGGAUCGGCUAACUCCGUGCCAGCAGCCGCGGUAAUACGGAGGAUCCAAGCGUUAUCCGGAAUCAUUGGGUUUAAAGGGUCCGUAGGUGGAUAAUUAAGUCAGGGGUGAAAGUCUGCAGCUCAACUGUAGAAUUGCCUUUGAUACUGGUUAUCUUGAAUUAUUGUGAAGUGGUUAGAAUAUGUAGUGUAGCGGUGAAAUGCAUAGAUAUUACAUAGAAUACCAAUUGCGAAGGCAGAUCACUAACAAUAUAUUGACACUGAUGGACGAAAGCGUGGGGAGCGAACAGGAUUAGAUACCCCCGUAGUC
rnacentral:rRNA from 1 species